rnacentral:lncRNA from 1 species
ACAGAACCUUGUUGUUUAUGACCACGGAUGACGACGAUUUUCCAUUCCCUGUGAGUGCGGACGCAGUUAGAAAAUACUUCGUGAAAGAAACCCGCUGGACAAAAAAAAAAAGAAUAAAGAGUCCAGGCAAAAAAUGGGCAUCCCGGCGAACCAAGAAAAAGAGAAAGGUUCGGGCAAAAGUUAGGGAUAAAAAUAAAAGAAAAGAACUGUACACCCGGCAAGUUGAAAACCCGCAAGGGCGACUUGGGCAAAAAAG